rnacentral:rRNA from 1 species
GAUGAGCAUGCGUCCCAUUAGCUAGUUGGUAAGGUAACGGCUUACCAAGGCUACGAUGGGUAGGGGUCCUGAGAGGGAGAUCCCCCACACUGGUACUGAGACACGGACCAGACUCCUACGGGAGGCAGCAGUGAGGAAUAUUGGACAAUGGGCGCAAGCCUGAUCCAGCCAUGCCGCGUGCAGGAUGACGGUCCUAUGGAUUGUAAACUGCUUUUAUACGAGAAGAAACACUCCUUCGUGAAGGAGCUUGACGGUAUCGUAAGAAUAAGGAUCGGCUAACUCCGUGCCAGCAGCCGCGGUAAUACGGAGGAUCCAAGCGUUAUCCGGAAUCAUUGGGUUUAAAGGGUCCGUAGGCGGUUUAAUAAGUCAGUGGUGAAAGCCCAUCGCUCAACGGUGGAACGGCCAUUGAUACUGUUAGACUUGAAUUAUUAGGAAGUAACUAGAAUAUGUAGUGUAGCGGUGAAAUGCUUAGAGAUUACAUGGAAUACCAAUUGCGAANGCAGGUUACUACUAAU